rnacentral:rRNA from 1 species
UACGUAGGUGGCUAGCGUUGUCCGGAUUUACUGGGCGUAAAGAGCGCGCAGGCGGUCGUUCAAGUCGAGUGUGAAAGCCCCCGGCUCAACUGGGGAGGGUCACUCGAUACUGGUCGACUCGAAGGCAGGAGAGGGAAGCGGAAUUCCCGGUGUAGUGGUGAAAUGCGUAGAUAUCGGGAGGAACACCAGUGGCGAAGGCGGCUUUCUGGCCUGUUCUUGACGCUGAGGCGGCGAAAGCUAGGGUAGCAAACGGG